rnacentral:rRNA from 1 species
AUUGAACGCUGGCGGCAUGCCUUACACAUGCAAGUCGAACGGUAACAGGUUAAGCUGACGAGUGGCGAACGGGUGAGUAAUGUAUCGGAACGUGCCCAGUCGUUGGGGAUAACUGCUCGAAAGAGCAGCUAAUACCGCAUACGACCUGAGGGUGAAAGCGGGGGAUCGCAAGACCUCGCGCGAUUGGAGCUGCCGAUAUCAGAUUAGGUAGUUGGUGAGGUAAAGGCUCACCAAGCCGACGAUCUGUAGCUGGUCUGAGAGGACGACCAGCCACACUGGGACUGAGACACGGCCCAGACUCCUACGGGAGGCAGCAGUGGGGAAUUUUGGACAAUGGGCGCAAGCCUGAUCCAGCCAUGCCGCGUGCGGGAAGAAGGCCUUCGGGUUGUAAACCGCUUUUGUCAGGGAAGAAAAGGUUCUGGCUAAUACCUGGGACUCAUGACGGUACCUGAAGAAUAAGCACCGGCUAACUACGUG